GGGAAUCGAGCGGAAGGCGGCGCGCGGCACGCAGUGCGCUCGGGGCUCCGCACCUCCCAGCCAGAAAAUGAGGUUCAGAGAAGUGAAAUGACCCACAAGGUCACAGAUCUAGGAUGGGUCAGACUUUGAUUCCACAAGCUCUGCUUUUUCCACGGUUCCACACAGUUACCAUGGCUUCACACACGCAAAAGCGCCAUCCUGCCACCUUCCUAUCAGGCACAGAUGAGCCCUCCACUGCGUGAAGGUUUCCAGUUUCCUUAGAUCCCUAGAGCAACCUGCCUUGAAGUCUUAGGACAGCAUGCUUUUAUUCAGUGUUUUUGCAGGAACACUUUCUUUGUCCAUAAACAAAGCCUUGAUAACCAAGAGAGUAGCACAGUAUUCUCCAUUGAGCUUUACCAUCCUAAAUUCCUAGGGGAACAUGCCUCAAACAACGUCCCAGACUUCUCCCCACAGAGAUUCUUUUUACCCUGGCGAAGGCUUGGGAUUUUGCAUUACUCAUCCUAGUGGCCCAGGGCUGGGAGAUAUCGAUUUAACAUAUUAAAAGUGGUCAACUGUGAAUGAUGUGCCCUAUAAUUGUGGGUACCCUGAGUACUAUUUUUCCGAAAACACAAACUAAAAGAGCUACCCUAGGUUCUUGGCUUCCUGAUUAUUUGUAAAAGAAUCAAGCUUCAGAGGAAAGGAUCUUCUCAACUUCAUUUUAGCACUUUUUCCAUAAGAAGACGUGGCCUGGGACAUCUGUAGUGCCUUUGGCAGACUCAUGCUUGCCCUUCUCUUGGAGAGGAACGGCUAGACCCUACAGUGACUUUAUGUUUAACCAUUUGAGGAACUCCCAGACUGUCUUCCACAGUGGCUGCACCGUUUUAAAAUCCUACCACCAACAGUGGUGAUCUAUUUAUCUGCCUUGGACAAAGAUCCCUGUUUGGACUCUGAAGCUCAAUUUGAAAAUGACUUGUCUUUAUUAUUGAGAGUUUCAGUUGUCAGGCUGGCUUGGUGUUCGCCUACAGAGGUACCAAACAGUACGACUUUCAUCGUUAGAAGAAAAAGAAACUUGGGGGCGAGCAGCCGCCGCUGUACCCACAAUUCCUGCACCAAGACCACGUCCUGUGAGAAGCAGCUCAGACCCUGUGCAUUCGCAUUACAGAGUUCUUUCUGAUUCUCCGAUUUGUCAUCGGAUCUUAUUAAAACACAGAAGGAAGAAAUUGACUGCAGCAACUGGGGUUCUAUAGGCGUCUCAACAGCAUCAAACCAAACUCAUAAUUAUUGGAACCAUUGUAUCAAACGCCUGGGGGCGGGCAGCUGGCUUUGUUCUCACAGUGGCACACACCUCCAGAAAAGACAGCUCGCCAUCCCAGCAGGGGGCGGGGUGGCCCCUCUGGCCUUUUGACCCAGAAGUGCCUCUUAGAGAGGUGCCGUGUGGAUGUGGGGUCGGGGAGUGGGGUGGGGGUGGGCACACACACCAGAGACAAUAUAGAGAAGCCGGCGUGAGCUCCAGCUCUGCAAAGAAUUGUGAAGCUGCAUCCUGUCAGGUUUCCUCUCAUUCCUGUAUUUCUUUUUCCCUGGAGCUCCUUAUUGGCAGCAAAUUGGCUAUUCUCUUGCCCUUGUUUCUGUCCACUCUUUCCCACAAUCCUUUCUCUUUUUGUUUUUCUACCCCUUGUCCCCUUCAGGACCUCCCUCCAGGUAACAUGCCUGGCUUUCCUUUGCUUGGCCCAUCACUUUUUUCACCUCAGCAUCCCCUUCUCUCUCCGCAUCCUUCUCCGUCUCUCUGACCUUGGAGAAGAUGCAGACAAACCACAAGGAACGUUCCUUGAUCCCUCAGAGGGAGGUUGAUGUCGUGUCAUCUCUCUGGCUAGAAUUGUUUAUUUUGUGCCUAUUUCCUCGAGGAUGAUGCAGUUCAAUAUUCACACCUUGACUGAACUGUGAAGAGAGAUGAGGUCCUCUGCUGUGGGUCCAUUCUGAUGCCACCACCCACCCCCAGCCCAAAUAAUCCACAGCCACUAUGAGCUUGACGCGCUGGGGGCAGAGGAGAGACAGCCCACGCUCACUGUCUGCUGGCGAAAGAGAGACCAGACUGUUACCUGCAGUGUGGUCAGGUGUGCAAAGGGUAAUUCAAAUGCAUCUCUGAGUUUGCAGGAUAAAUAGGCAAGAGGUGCCUUGGGCUGAGAGGCCAGGAAGGUCUCAGAGAGGAUGUGACCCUUAGGAAGAGACCUGGGAGGGAGUUCCCACUGUAGUGCAGUGGGUUAAGGACCUGGCCUUCUCUCUGCAGUGCAGGUUUGAUCCCAGGCCCCGGUGUAGUGGGUUGAGGAUCCUGCGUUGUUGCAGCUGUGGCUCAGAUUCGAUCUUCGAUCCCUGGCCUGAGAACUUCCAUGUGCUGCAAGUGCAGGCAAAAAAAAAA
rnacentral:lncRNA from 1 species